rnacentral:lncRNA from 1 species
GCAGACCUUCUCCAGCUAAUCUCAGGAAGGCUGAAGUUUUUAGACGGCUACCCUUCAUAUUUAGGGAGAGAAUAUAACCAUGUGGAAAGUCUAGUCUUCAUGUGGAACAUCUGUUACGAAGAAAUUCUACUUGGAAAGCUUGUCUGCUCUAUUAACCCAUCCCUGUUGCUCACUUGGAAGAAGAGGGCCUUCACUUUCCACUGUAAGAAGAAGGUCUUCUGUUGCUCUGAACGCUUCUGUUUAGAGACCUUUCUUCACUGUCCCCAAGGUCUUCCACAUUCCUCCAAAGAACAAGAUGGUCAGGCCUGACACAACGAGAGUCACUCCUUGUACCAAGGUGAAUCUAGGAGGAAGAGUUUUUCAUGGACUUAAAGACAGGACUCCAUCACCAUCAUGGAAGGGAAGCAUGACAGCAGGCAGAAUAUAUCUGGGACGCAUGAGAUAAAACUGAUAUUGAGGAACACAGAGCAGAGAGAAGGAAAAAGCUGGCUCAUGAUGCACCAUUGUUCAGAUUGUCUUAAGCUGUGUCCACCUUUGGUGUUCGAGUUGUAUGAGGUCAUUGGGGGUGGGGGUGGGAGGUGCGGUGGGUGGGUAUCAGAAAGCUUUGUGUAGUGAGGAAUAUAUUUGCUGAUACAUGGA